AAAGGGUUGACUUCCUCUUCUUACUUCCCCCUUGCUACCACUUCCGCCAUGGCUGGUCGCUACGACAGAAACCCUUUCGACGAAGAAGAGGAAGUCAACCCUUUUGCUAAUCCUGGAAGUGUUCCCCCUGCCACAAAUUCCAGACUUUCACCUCUUCCUCCAGAACCUGUUGAUUUUAAUUAUGGUCGUGGCGCAACUGUUGACAUACCACUCGAUUCAAAUUCUGAAGGAUCAAACUAUAAGGAUUUGAAGAAGAAAGAGAAGGAGCUCCAAGCUAAAGAGGCUGAAUUGAGAAGGCGGGAACAGGAAGUAAAACGGAGGGAAGAUGCUGCAAAUCGGGCUGGAAUUGUUCUAGAGGAGAAAAAUUGGCCACCUUUUUUCCCAAUUAUCCACCAUGAUAUUGCAAAUGAUAUUCCUAUUCAUCUGCAAAGAUUGCAGUAUGUUGCGUUUACUACAUUGCUGGGACUAACUCUUUGCCUCCUCUGGAACAUAGUAGCUGUUACUACAGCGUGGAUUAAGGGAGAAGGAGUAAAAAUUUGGUUCCUUGCUGUCAUCUAUUUUAUUGCUGGGGUUCCAGGAGGGUAUUUCUUGUG
rnacentral:misc_RNA from 1 species